GGUCAAGCGAAUAAGGGCUAACGGUGGAUACCUAGGCA
rnacentral:rRNA from 1 species